rnacentral:siRNA from 1 species
CAAAUUACCAGCUAUUGAACCAA